rnacentral:rRNA from 1 species
GCACAAGCCCUUGAAUGGUGAAGCCGCGAAAAGCUCAUUACAACAGCCAUAGUUUAUUGGAUCUUUACCUUCUUACACGGAUAACUGCGGUAAUUCUGGAGCUACUACGUGCAUUAAACGACGACCUUACGGAAGUCGUGCAUUUGUUAGACCAAACCAAUCGGUCUUCGGACCGCCAUUUGGUGAACUCUGAAUAACUUUGCUGAUCGCACAGUCUCGUACUGGCGACAAAUCUUUCAAGUGUCUGCCUUAUCAACUUUCGAUGGUAGUUUAUACGCCUACCAUGGUUGUAACGGGUAACGGAGAAUAAGGGUUCGACUCCGGAGAGGGAGCCUGAGAAACGGCUACCACAUCCAAGGAAGGCAGCAGGCGCGCAAAUUACCCACUCGCAGAACGCGGAGGUAGUGACGAAAAAUAACGAGGUGGCUCUCUACGAGGUCCGCCAUCGGAAUGGGUACAAUUUAAAUCCUUUAACGAGGAUCUAUUGGAGGGCAAGUCUGGUGCCAGCAGCCGCGGUAAUUCCAGCUCCAAUAGCGUAUAUUAAAGUUGUUGCGGUUAAAAAGCUCGUAGUUGGAUCUGCGUUCGGUGAAAGCGGUCGCCCGACGGGUUGUACUGCUUCUCCCGAACUAAUCAUUCGGUUUUCCCUUGAUGCUCUUCAUUGAGUGUCCUGGGUGACCGGAACUUUUACUUUGAAAAAAUUAGAGUGCUCAAAGCAGGCGAUUCGCCCGAAUAUUCGUGCAUGGAAUAAUGAAAAAGGUCCUUGUAGCCUUUUAUUGGUUAUUGCUAUGAGGAAAUGAUCGAAGGGGACAGACGGGGGCAUUUGUAUUGCGACGUUAGAGGUGAAAUUCUUGGAUCGUCGCAGGACAAACUACUGCGAAAGCAUUUGCCAAGAAUGUUUUCAUCAAUCAAGAACGAAAGUCUGAGGUUCGACAGCGAUCAGAUACCGCUUUAGUUCAGACCGUAAACGAUGCCAUCUGGCGAUCCAUGGGUGUUAUGUAUGACUCCAUGGGCAGCCACCGGGAAACCUUUAAGUUGGGUUCCGGGGGAAGUAUGGUUGCAAAGCUGAAACUUAAAGGAAUUGACGGAAGGGCACCACCAGGAGUGGAGCCUGCGGCUUAAUUUGACUCAACACGGGAAAACUCACCCGGCCCGGACACUGUAAGGAUUGACAGAUUGAUAGCUCUUUCUUGAUUCGGUGGGUGGUGGUGCAUGGCCGUUCUUAGUUGGUGGAGCGAUUUGUCUGGUUUAUUCCGAUAACGAACGAGACUCUAGCCUACUAAAUAGAUGACGCUUUCCUUAGAGCUAACGCUUCUUAGAGGGACAAGCGACGUCUAGUCGCACGAGAUUGAGCAAUACCAGGUCUGUGAUGCCCUUAGAUGUUCGGGGCUGCACGCGCGCUACACUGAAGGCAUCAACAUGCAUACCAACCUACCUCGGAAGAGGCGGGUAACCCGUUGAAACGCCUUCGUGAUUGGGAUUGUGAAUUGCAAUUAUUUCACAUGAACGAGGAAUUCCUAGUAAGUCCGAGUCAUCAGCUCGGGCUGACUCGGUCCCUGCCCUUUGUACACACCGCCCGUCGCUACUACCGAUUGAGUGACUCCUAAAGCAGUUCGGACCGAGCGCUGUGCGUUCGCAAGUUCGCGCAAGUCGCUUGGAAAGUUCUCCAAUGGGAUUUACUUAGAGGAAGUAAAAGUCGUAACAAGGUUUCCGUAGGUGAACCUGCGGAAGGAUCAUUACCGAUCCGUCUCGACGGCUCAUGUCGAGUUAUCAGGGCGAAGACUGAACUGAUGUGGGGUAGUCGCCACCGCGCAAGUCCCCGUUCGGUCCUAGCUGGCAGGCCAUAUUCAUAAGCGAUAGCACGGCGUGCAGCAGGUAGGGCUGCCAAGAUGUGCCUGCUACGUUUAAGUCUAUGGUCUCGGGUAAGGUGAUACACUACCCUGGUUUGUCGUAGUUGUUCCUUCUGUGUGGCUCUACGCGUCGAUCAUAUACGCGUUUGAAUGGGCUCAGAAGGUCCCUUUAUGAGUGGCUUUGCGUGUCGCUUCUACACGCUUGCGUAAGCCCAUGAAGGCAGACGGCAGCUACUGCAAGCUUGCUGGUAGUUUGUUGGGUACCUACGUCGACUGUGUGGUCUUACAGUUACACCUGCUGUUUGCAUAGACCCAGUCGACACACCGUCGGUCGGACCGGACAGUGGCCGACGGAAGGUUUAAAGAGCCAUCUGCGAUCAGCUUUGCUGUUCGAGUCUAUGUCCAUGAGGUCCUCAUGGAGUAGACCUACCCUUGCGCCCGCUUCUGGCGUACAGGUGGUCGCCCGACUCCCCUUUUAACUACUUAAUAAUUACUGUCGUAGCUUAACGGCUCGAUAGACAAACGUACAAUUCUAGCGUGUAUC